UAUGGCCACAUCAUGUUGAAACACUAGUUCUCAUGUGAUCACUGGAGUUAAGCAACAUUGAGUCUAGUCAGUACCUAGAUGGGUGACCACUUAGGU